rnacentral:rRNA from 1 species
UAAGUUUAACGGCCGCGGUAUUUUGACCGUGCGAAGGUAGCGCAAUCACUUGUCUUUUAAAUGGGGACCUGUAUGAAUGGCACAACGAGGGCUUAACUGUCUCCUCUUUCAAGUCAAUGAAAUUGAUCUUCCCGUGCAGAAGCGGGAAUAUUUACAUAAGACGAGAAGACCCUAUGGAGCUUUAGACACCAGGACAGACUACGUUAAUAGUCCCCAAAUAAGGGAUUGAACAGAGUAGAUCCCUGCCCUAAUGUCUUUGGUUGGGGUGACCGCGGGAAAAAAAACAACCUCCGCGUGGAAUGGGAAUACCUCCCUACCUUCCUCCUACAGCUAAGAGCUGCAGCUCUAAGCAACAGAAUUUUUGACCAUGAGAUCCGGCAACGCCGAUCAACGGACCGAGUUACCCUAGGGAUAACAGCGCAAUCCCCUUCUAGAGUCCAUAUCGACAAGGGGGUUUACGACCUCGAUGUUGGAUCAGGACAUCCUAAUGGUGCAGCCGCUAUUAAGGGUUCGUUU